rnacentral:misc_RNA from 1 species
GAUGAAGAACGUAGCGAAAUGCGAUAAGUAGUGUGAAUUGCAGAAUUCCGUGAAUCAUCGAAUCUUUGAACGCACAUUGCGCCCGCUAGUAUUCUGGCGGGCAUGCCUGUCCGAGCGUCAUUUCAACCCUCAAGCCCCCGGGCUUGGUGUUGGGGAUCGGCGAGCCUCCGCGCCCGCCGUCCCCUAAAUCUAGUGGCGGUCUCGCUGUAGCUUCCUCUGCGUAGUAGCACACCUCGCACUGGGAAACAGCGCGGCCACGCCGUUAAACCCCCAACUUCUGAACGUUUGACCUCGGAUCAGGUAGGAAUACCCGCUGAACUUAAGCAUAUCAAUAGCGGAGGA